GGGCUCUCCUGACGCGCCGAGCGGGACCCUGAGGAGCCAGCUGGCGCAGGCUAUGGGCUGGGCGGCGGUUGAGACAGCGGCGGUAUUGGGAGGGGUAGGUGGCCACAGAGUGCAUCUGCUCUGGGGGACUCAUCGCUCAUAUACCCUCCCAGAAGAGCAGGAAAGGGGAUUCGUAAAUAUAUUCUUCUGAUGGGGAAUGCUCUAUGAGGCCGCCUUCACAUGGUGAGUAGUGACCGUGACACCUCUGCAGCGUCCCUGGUCACUUGUAGCCCCUGAAAGGGUCAGCGGGAGCAGAUCACUUCUUUUCUUCAGGGCUGGAGAAAGUACCUCUGUGCAUUUUCCAGAAGUGCUUCGGUCAGGCAGUAUCUUUGAAAAUAAUUUGGCCAAUGAAAGCCCUGGCAUUGGAUGAAAGUGCUAGCUGCUGGGAAUGCUACCCCUCCUUUUGGUUCUCUUUCAAGUCCUUCAGGUUCAAACAAUACAGAAGUGUAUAAAGUAAGAAUUGGAAGUCUCUUCGCUGCUCUAAUCUCACUCCUCAGAGGUGAUCACUGUGUGGAAGAUGAUCAAAGUAUGACAUUUCUUCUACCCCAGAGGCUGGCAUUUCUGCAGGCACAAAUGAGCUUGGUUUUCAAGCACUGCUCUUUGAACACAAGGAAUUCCUUUAAUGAUCACGCCGGACUAUAUAGACUUUGGAAUCAGACUCUUUGAAUUCCAGCUCUGCCAUUUACCAACUUUGACACUUUGGACAACGUCUCAUUCUGUCACCCAGGCUGGAGUGCAAUGGCACAAUUAUAGCUCACUGCAGCCUCAAACACCUGGGCUCAAGCAAUCCUUCCACCUCUGCCUCCUGAGUAAUUGGGACUACAGGCAUGUGCCACCACACCCAGCUAAUUUUUAAUUUUUAAUUUUUUUGUAGAGAUGGCGGUCUUGCUAUGUCACCCAGGCUGGUCUUGAACACCUGGCCUCAAGUGAUCCUCCGGCCUUGGUCUCUCAAAGCUCUGGGAUUACAGACAUGAGCCACUGCACCCGGCUCUAUCUCCCCUUCCUAUGUGUGUUAGCUCUAGAACAAGAGAAGCCUUGUUGAGAUUCCUGGCUGCCCACCCCCCAUCACCUCUCUGACUUUGGGCAAGUUGCCUGGCCUCUCUCAGCCUUUAUUUUCUUUUUGUGAAAUGGGGAUAAUAAUAGUACUUGCCUCAUAGGCAAAAUGUUGUGAGAACUAAACGAGAAAAUGCAUGUAAAGCACUUGGCACUUAGUUCUUUUUAUGAUUAUAAUGAUAAUCAGACACAAUAAAUUAUGUCUCACAUCACA
rnacentral:lncRNA from 1 species